UGAUGCAGGUUCACCAGACACCCUUUGAUUGAGGAGGGUAUUUUUGGGAGUUGCAGUGUUGUGCAGAAGAUCAUGUCUGUGCCCUGUGGUGCUGUCAGCUGUGACAGAUCCCAGAUGCAGCCGCUACUGUAUGGCAGAUUGAGUUUCUCAGCAGAAAACUCUCUCCCUCCCUCCUAAACGUCUUCAAAAACCUUCUCCAGAUACUGCAGGUCACUUCGGCUGAAUCGGGAAAAGUUGAACAAAAGUUUUCCUUUCGCUUCUUCUCUCUGGCUCUCUCUGCUAGGGAGCCUCCCUCUGGUCCCAGCCCUAGGUGCCAACUGUGGGCCUGCCAGGCUGUCCCCGGCCGCUUGUGACCACAACAAGCCCCGCUGCUCUGCUGAUGGGAACAGAGGUUGGCAAGAAGGACAGAGAACCCGCAGGAGACGUCGUCUGCAAGAUCACCUCGGUUUUCAUCCAUUGAUAUAAGGUGUCUAUUGCAAUAUCAGCUGUCACACACUGAAAACGGAUACUGCUAUUAGUAAUUUGCAAAGGAAAAUCUACACAUUUUUUGCAGUUUGAUUUCUGCUCUGAAUAUACGGGAUUGGAUUUUCAGAAGUGGUCAGUGCUGGCCCUCAUGUACUUUGAUGGGAGUAGACUUAAGUCAACAUUGUGGCUCCUGCAACACCACCAGUCUUCAGAUGUGUAACAUGGAUUGUACCCACUUCAAACAAUCUAAAACCUCAUUUAUAAUUUUUCAUACAAGGGGCCUCACUUUAAAACAAGCGCUGCAGGCAAGAAGGUAUUUGGCACACAUCUUCGGUUCCCUUGGUGGACAAGAAAGGACUACAACACAAACACAUCUAAUGUGAUAAGUUCCAAGACGACUAGUCUCAUCAGAACAACUACCACCACAGCUGACACUAGACAGACACUUGCUGGCCAUCUCAUACAAAGGCCUGUCACAUAUCCAGGGCGGCAGGAAGCAGAGGAUGUCAAAUAAUAGACUUCUUCUCUAGGCUGCGUCUGGAGAGAUUCUGUCAACUAAAGCAUCCCUUUCACAGUAGAUUGAAGUUCAGUUUUGCAAUGUAACAUUUUAGGUCCUUGAGUUUCCACAAGAAUUAUUUCUGUGCUCCUGCACUGAGCUAUUUGAGACAAUUACCUUCUGUGUCCUGUCCUAUUGCAAGCACCUCGUCAUCUACUGGCUGCUGUACCUCCACAGCUUUACCUCCAUGCAAUACAAGCCUGGCCCAUUGUAAGUUCACAAACUGUUCCAAGAGGAAUCAUUUCCAUGACGGACUUAUGGUUGAAGUUCUGGAGAGGGCCCACAAGCCAGUCCAGUCCAGUCCCAGAAACAGAGGGACUUGCAACUGGAGCAGGGGCAUGCUGAGAGGCAAGAGGAAAGGCCGAGUCUGGCUGCACAGCAUGAGGACAUGAUUUCAGUGUGGGAGCACGCACUUGCUACAUAGUUCCUGGAACAGGAAGGGCAGCUAAGGGAGGAGGACAGAGCUCAGCAGAAAGCUGGUUGAGUGGCUCCUCUCAAUCACAAGUGCAAGAGUACUGACGCCUGCUGCCUCUCCAACCUCAUGGCCUAAGUCCCCUGUGAUGUCCCUCAGUCCAGAAAUAGCAUGGAAAAGUCCAUGACUGUCCAUGCAAUCAGUCCCCAUGAGUGGCUGGGCAGGGCAACUAAACCCCAUGCAAUCCUCUGUCUUGACCCUCACUCCUGUAGAUGCCCCCCUCCCUUGGUGCCAAGUGCACAGAAAAUGGGGAAGAAGGGAAAGGAGAACGGGGGCCGGGGACAUGCAAUGGUAGGGGGUUUCUGUCAUGUUUGCCAUUGUUAAUGCACAUUUUUGUUGUUGUUUUGGAAGUGUUCUGUUGUAAUUGGUAUUUUGGUGUUGUAAUGACAACUGGCCUGGCAAUGGAUGAAUGUUGUACGGCUUUAAACAUAGGUUUAUAAAUAAAGCUUUUUAUGUUAUCAAGAAAGUUUAUUGCUAUCACUGCAUCUCAUCAUGCAACGUGUAUUUAAAAUAAAGCUAAACACAUGAUCAGGAACCAUUAGGCAUUAGUAAGUAGACACUAUUCCUCCAUAAAGUUAGGUACAGCAAUACACACUUCAAUCACUUCCUUAUAUGAACCCAUUCAGUGAAUCAUCCCCCACCCCUCACCCCCAUUUCAUGUUAAAUCAUAAGUACAUU